AAUUUUGGACAAUGGGCGAAAGCCUGAUCCAGCCAUGCCGCGUGCAGGAUGAAGGCCUUUGGGUUGUAAACUGCUUUUGUACGGAACGAAAAGCCUCUUUCUAAUAAAGAGGGGUCAUGACGGUACCGUAAGAAUAAGCACCGGCUAACUACGUGCCAGCAGCCGCGGUAAUACGUAGGGUGCAAGCGUUAAUCGGAAUUACUGGGCGUAAAGCGUGCGCAGGCGGUUUUGUAAGACAGAGGUGAAAUCCCCGGGCUCAACCUGGGAACUGCCUUUGUGACUGCAAGGCUGGAGUGCGGCAGAGGGGGAUGGAAUUCCGCGUGUAGCAGUGAAAUGCGUAGAUAUGCGGAGGAACACCGAUGGCGAAGGCAAUCCCCUGGGCCUGCACUGACGCUCAUGCACGAAAGCGUGGGGAGCAA
rnacentral:rRNA from 1 species